AUUGAACGCUGGCGGCAUGCUUUACACAUGCAAGUCGAACGGUAACAGGUUAAGCUGACGAGUGGCGAACGGGUGAGUAAUGCAUCGGAACGUGCCCGAUCGUGGGGGAUAACGCAGCGAAAGCUGCGCUAAUACCGCAUACGAUCUGAGGAUGAAAGCGGGGGACCGUAAGGCCUCGCGCGAUCGGAGCGGCCGAUGUCAGAUUAGGUAGUUGGUGGGGUAAAGGCCCACCAAGCCGACGAUCUGUAGCAGGUCUGAGAGGACGACCAGCCACACUGGGACUGAGACGCGGCCCAGACUCCUACGGGAGGCAGCAGUGGGGAAUUUUGGACAAUGGGCGAAAGCCUGAUCCAGCAAUGCCGCGUGCAGGAAGAAGGCCUUCGGGUUGUAAACUGCUUUUGUACGGAGCGAAAAGGUCCUUUCUAAUACAAGGGGCUCAUGACGGUACCGUAAGAAUAAGCACCGGCUAACUACGUGCCAGCCGCCGCAGUAAAAC
rnacentral:rRNA from 1 species